CUCCAUUUCAGUUAUUGGUGGUGAAUUGUUGCCCUCCUUGACAGCAUCCAGGAAAGGUCGUUACUUUUCCAAAACACAAGUAGGACUUCACAAGCCUCAGCCUUGAAGAGUGUUCCUGGGAGCUUCCAGGCCCUUCAGGCAAAUGUGAAGAACUCUUGUCCAGUGGAGGGGAUACUGAAGGGAUCCUCACCUGGGAGAGAGGGGAGGCGCUGUUUGGGUCUACUCCAGCGCAGAGCGAGGUCAAUCUAACAUGGCCACAGGAAGACGUAAGAAUGUUAAAGUCAAGAUCAUUCAAGAUACUUUUCCUCUAACCCGGCAUCUAAUAUAUUUGGAGAAGGCUGCGUGUGAAGCCAGGGUCAGGGGAAGAGCGUGUUUGGAGGGGAAGAGAAAAAGGGAAAGUCCAAAAUGGGACCAAGUGGAAAGGGCCAGAGCCAAGAGAGAUGUCAGCUGGAAGUGGAGUAAGAGGAAAGACUGUGCCCACUUGCCAAUAAGGAUGAGUUGAGAUGACACCGUUACCGCUCGCUUUGCGUGGCAGAAGGUGGGCAAGAAUCCAUUGGGAGACGGGCUUAUAAUCUAGCCACAUGGUUUAGGGACCAUGUGAUGGAAUUUGAUGUGUGAGAUAUAUUUAGAGAUUAAAAUUGGGCACGACCGCCGG
rnacentral:lncRNA from 1 species